rnacentral:rRNA from 1 species
AGACUCUGAAGCUUAUGUUUUGUUACACAUAAAAUUAAAGUACUUAACAUUUUAAGAUAUCUUUUAUGAAAAGUGGAUUGUUGGGUCAAUCCAGCCAUACUAUAAUGACAUUAGUACUGUUAUUGUCGGUAGUUUUUAUUAAAUACAUAGGGAAUACAUCCUAAAUAAAGUAGAGAGUUGAGGAGAGAGUGUAAUGAAUAAGAUCCCUGUGACAGAACUCAAGCCCGGAUUAAAAAUCAUAAGCAACGUAUACAGUCCCUUAGGUGGUUUGUUAUUGCAAAAAGGGAAGGUGCUGUUGCCGAGGGAUUUGGAUAUAUUGCGUGCUUUUAUGAUAUCGGAUGUAGAAAUUGAAGAACUAUCUAAGUCGGCAAAGGAAUCUAAUGCCACUCCUUCUACGUCAGCAGCGGGUAAACCAGAGAAAGCAGCGGCGACCGUACCGAGCGGAAGUGCAGCCGCCUCCGAAUCGGAACAUUUGCCGAUCAACCCUCUUCACCAGGAGUACGAUAGGAUGCUUCAUUUGACGAAAAGUGCUUUUCAGUCUGUACUAGCUGUGGAGCUUCCCAUAUAUGAGCUGCGUCGCCAACUGGAGGCUUUGAUCAAACAGAUGAAGCAUUACAAAGUAUUGACCUUUACGCCGCGAAACAUGAAUGAAUAUGAUUACCUGUACCACAAUGCCAUUCUUUCCUCGAUGACAUCUUAUUUGCUUGCUCAGUGGCAUGGUCUGCCACAAAAGGAUUGGAUGCAGGUUGCUUUCGCCGGUCUACUGCAUGAUAUUGGGAAUACGAAGAUUGAUCCGGUGAUUCUAUAUAAUCCUAACCCUCUAACGGAGAGCGAAGCUGAAGAAAUGCGAAUGCAUACGACUUAUGGAUAUCAACAACUCCGGAAAACAUCUGCAAUCAAUGAGGGAGUCCGUCUAACAGCACUGCAGCAUCAUGAGAAAAUGGAUGGAUCAGGGUACCCCUUCCACCUGACAGGUGAGAAAAUACAUAUAUACGCUAGAAUCGUAGCUAUAGCAGAUAUUUUUCAUGCUAUGACGCUCAAUCGGAGAUAUCGUAAAGCGCAAUCCCCAUAUUUGGUACUGGAACAGCUAAAGACGGAGGCGUUUGGAAAACUUGAUCCUAGUAUUGUGCAGACCUUCGUGGAGAAAGUAACCCAGUUCCAUAAUGGAAUGAGAGUACGCCUCAGCAAUGACAAGGUGGGUGAGAUUAUAUUCUCGGAUCGCAAUCAUCCUACACGCCCAAUGGUAUCGGUUAAUGGCGAAAUUAUUAAUUUAAUGAAAGAUACUAUGUUGUAUAUCGAGGAAGUUCUUUCCUAGGCUUGCUUUUUAACUAGGAAAUAGGUAUAGUAUGACUUGCUGCAGCGAUAGCUGAGAUAGAGUUUAUAUUCGAAAAAAUUAAUUUUAGAAAAACUCUUGCAAUUGUUAGCAGCAAGUGUUAUAUUAUAAGAGUUGCCGCUGAAACAACGGUAACAUACGAGAAACAAAGNCGUUAAGGCUGGGCUGUGAUGGGGAGGGAAAAUUUACAGUACCGAAGGUCAUGAUCUCACACUGCCAAGAAAAGCCUCUAGCCAGGAGAAGGUGCCCGUACCGCAAACCGACACAGGUAGGCGAGAAGAGAAUUCUAAGGCGCGCGGAAGAACUCUCGUUAAGGAACUCGGCAAAAUGACCCCGUAACUUUGGGAGAAGGGGUGCCCCGGUAGUGUGAAUAGCACGAGGGGGCCGCAGUGAAAAGGCCCAAGCGACUGUUUAGCAAAAACACAGGUCUGUGCGAAGCCGUAAGGCGAAGUAUACGGGCUGACGCCUGCCCGGUGCUGGAAGGUUAAGGGGAGCGGUUAGGGAGUAAUCCCGAAGCUGUGAACCGAAGCCCCAGUAAACGGCGGCCGUAACUAUAACGGUCCUAAGGUAGCGAAAUUCCUUGUCAGGUAAAUUCUGACCCGCACGAAUGGCGUAACGACUUGGGCGCUGUCUCAACGAGAGAUCCGGUGAAAUUUUAAUACCUGUGAAGAUGCAGGUUACCCGCGACAAGACGGAAAGACCCCAUGGAGCUUUACUACAGCUUGAUAUUGAACUUUGAUGCGAUUUGUACAGGAUAGGUGGGAGCCUAGGAAUCCGGAGCGCCAGCUUCGGUGGAGGCAUCGUUGGGAUACCACCCUGAUCGUAUCGAAGUUCUAACCUAGGACCGUGACCCGGUUCGGGGACAGUGUCAGGCGGGUAGUUUGACUGGGGCGGUCGCCUCCUAAAGAGUAACGGAGGCGCCCCAAGGUUCCCUCAGAAUGGUUGGAAAUCAUUCGUAGAGUGCAAAGGCAAAAGGGAGCUUGACUGCGAGACUGACAAGUCGAGCAGGGACGAAAGUCGGGCUUAGUGAUCCGGUGGUACCGCAUGGAAGGGCCAUCGCUCAACGGAUAAAAGCUACCCUGGGGAUAACAGGCUUAUCUCCCCCAAGAGUCCACAUCGACGGGGAGGUUUGGCACCUCGAUGUCGGCUCAUCGCAUCCUGGGGCUGAAGUAGGUCCCAAGGGUUGGGCUGUUCGCCCAUUAAAGCGGUACGCGAGCUGGGUUCAGAACGUCGUGAGACAGUUCGGUCCCUAUCUGUCGUGGGCGUAGGAAAUUUGAGAGGAGCUGUCCUUAGUACGAGAGGACCGGGAUGGACGCACCGCUGGUGCACCAGUUGUUCCGCCAGGAGCAUAGCUGGGUAGCUACGUGCGGAUGGGAUAAACGCUGAAAGCAUCUAAGCGUGAAGCCCUCCUCAAGAUGAGAUUUCCCAAUUUAGUAAGACCCCUUGA